rnacentral:rRNA from 1 species
CCUACGGGUGGCAGCAGUGGGGAAUAUUGGACAAUGGGGGGAACCCUGAUCCAGCCAUGCCGCGUGUGUGAAGAAGGCCCUCGGGUUGUAAAGCACUUUCAGUGAGGAAGAACGCCUGGUGGUUAAUACCCAUCAGGAAAGACAUCACUCACAGAAGAAGCACCGGCUAACUCCGUGCCAGCAGCCGCGGUAAUACGGAGGGUGCGAGCGUUAAUCGGAAUUACUGGGCGUAAAGCGCGCGUAGGUGGCUUGAUAAGCCGGUUGUGAAAGCCCCGGGCUCAACCUGGGAACGGCAUCCGGAACUGUCAAGCUAGAGUGCAGGAGAGGAAGGUAGAAUUCCCGGUGUAGCGGUUAAAUGCGUAGAGAUCGGGAGGAAUACCAGUGGCGAAGGAGGCCUUCUGGACUAACACUGACACUGAGGUGCGAAAGCGUGGGUAGCAAACAGGAUUAGAUACCCUUGUAGUC